CAAGUCGAGGGGCAGCAGGUCCCGCAGCAAUGCGGGAUGCUGGCGACCGGCAAACGGGUGCGGAACACGUACACAACCUUCCUUUAAGUGGGGAAUAGCCCGGGGAAACCCGGAUUAAUACCCCGUAAUAUAAUGGAGUGGCAUCACUUUAUUAUUAUAGCUCCGGCGCUUGAAGAUGGGUGUGCGACUGAUUAGGCAGUUGGCGGGGUAACGGCCCACCAAACCUACGAUCAGUAACUGGUGUGAGAGCACGACCAGUCACACGGGCACUGAGACACGGGCCCGACUCCUACGGGAGGCAGCAGUAAGGAAUAUUGGUCAAUGGACGCAAGUCUGAACCAGCCAUGCCGCGUGGAGGAUGAAGGUCCUCUGGAUUGUAAACUUCUUUUAUCUGGGAAGAAAUGCAUUUUUUCUAAAAUGCUUGACGGUACCAGGUGAAUAAGCACCGGCUAACUCCGUGCCAGCAGCCGCGGUAAUACGGAGGGUGCAAGCGUUAUCCGGAUUCACUGGGUUUAAAGGGUGCGUAGGUGGGUUGGUAAGUCAGUGGUGAAAUCUCCAGGCUUAACUUGGAAACUGCCAUUGAUACUAUCAAUCUUGAAUACCGGGGAGGUCAGCGGAAUAUGUCAUGUAGCGGUGAAAUGCUUAGAUAUGACAUAGAACACCAAUUGCGAAGGCAGCUGGCUACACGAAUAUUGACACUGAUGCACGAAAGCGUGGGGAUCAAACAGGAUUAGAUACCCUGGUAGUCCACGCCCUAAACGAUGGAUACUCGACAUACGCGAUAUACAGUGUGUGUCUGA
rnacentral:rRNA from 1 species